UGGGGAAUUUUCCGCAAUGGGCUAACGCCUGACGGAGCAAUACCGCGUGAGGGAUGACGGCCUAUGGGUUGUAAACCUCUUUUUUCAGGGAGGAAUAAAUGACGUGUACCUGAAGAAUAAGCAUCGGCUAACUCCGUGCCAGCAGCCGCGGUAAGACGGAGGAUGCAAGUGUUAUCCGGAAUCACUGGGCGUAAAGCGUCUGUAGGUGGUUUAAUAAGUCAACUGUUAAAUCUUGAGGCUUAACUUCAAAAUCGCAGUCGAAACUAUUAGACUAGAGUAUAGUAGGGGUAAAGGGAUUUCCAGUGGAGCGGUGAAAUGCGUAGAGAUUGGAAAGAACACCAAUGGCGAAGGCACUUUACUGGGCUAUUACUGACACUGAGAGACGAAAGCUAGGGUAGCAAAUGGGAUUAGAUACCCCAGUAGUCCUAGCCGUAAACGAUGGAUACUAGAUGUUGAACAGAUCGACCUGUGCUA
rnacentral:rRNA from 1 species